GAUGAACGCUAGCGGCAGGCUUAACACAUGCAAGUCGAGGGGUAUAGGGAGCUUGCUUCCUAGAGACCGGCGCACGGGUGCGUAACGCGUAUGCAAUCUACCUUUUGCAGAGGAUAGCCCAGAGAAAUUUGGAUUAAUACCUCAUAGUAUGUGAGAAUGGCAUCAUUUUCACAUUAAAGUCACAGCGGCAAAAGAUGAGCAUGCGUCCCAUUGGCUUGUUGGUAAGGUAACGGCUUACCAAGGCAACGAUGGGUAGGGGUCCUGAGAGGGAGAUCCCCCACACUGGUACUGAGACACGGACCAGACUCCUACGGGAGCAGCAGUGAGGAAUAUUGGACAAUGGGCGCAAGCCUGAUCCAGCCAUGCCGCGUGCAGGAAGAAGCAUCUAUGGUGUGUAAACUGCUUUUUGUACGGGAAGAAACACUCCUACGUGUAGGAGCUUGACGGUACCGUAAGAAUAAGGAUCGGCU
rnacentral:rRNA from 1 species